UGGGACGUAGCCAACCGGUAAGGCAAGGGACUUUGACUCCCUGAUAGUUGGUUCAAUUCCAGCCGUCCCAG
rnacentral:tRNA from 1 species